GAUGAACGCUAGCGGCAGGCUUAAUACAUGCAAGUCGUGGGGCAGCAUGAGUAGCAAUACUUGAUGGCGACCGGCAAACGGGUGCGGAACACGUACACAACCUUCCGAUAAGUGGGGAAUAGCCCAGAGAAAUUUGGAUUAAUACCCCGUAACAUAUAGAGUAGGCAUCUUCUUUAUAUUAUAGCUUCGGCGCUUAUUGAUGGGUGUGCGUCUGAUUAGGUAGUUGGCGGGGUAACGGCCCACCAAGCCUACGAUCAGUAGCUGAUGUGAGAGCAUGACCAGCCACACGGGCACUGAGGCACGGGCCCUACUCCUAGGGGAGGCAGCAGUAAGGAAUAUUGGACAAUGGGCGAAAGCCUGAUCCAGCCAUGCCGCGUGAAGGAUUAAGGUCCUCUGGAUUGUAAACUUCUUUUAUUUGGGACGAAAAAAGGGAAUUCUUUCCCACUUGACGGUACCAAGUGAAUAAGCACCGGCUAACUCCGUGCCAGCAGCCGCAGUAA
rnacentral:rRNA from 1 species